AGAGUUUGAUCCUGGCUCAGAUUGAACGCUGGCGGCAUGCUUUACACAUGCAAGUCGAGCGGGGUGGAGGGGCAACUCUUCAUUCAGCGGCGGACGGGUGAGUAACACAUCGGAACGUAUCCUGGAGUGGGGGACAACCCAGCGAAAGCUGGGCUAAUACCGCAUACGCUCGGGAGAGGAAAGCGGGGGCUCGCAAGACCUCGCGCUGCAGGGGCGGCCGAUGUCCGAUUAGCUGGUUGGUGGGGUAAAGGCUCACCAAGGCGACGAUCGGUAGCUGGUCUGAGAGGAUGAUCAGCCACACUGGGACUGAGACACGGCCCAGACUCCUACGGGAGGCAGCAGUGGGGAAUUUUGGACAAUGGGGGCAACCCUGAUCCAGCCAUGCCGCGUGCGGGAAGAAGGCCUUCGGGUUGUAAACCGCUUUUGGUCGGGAAGAAAGGGCCCACCCUAAUACGGUGGGCUAUUGACGGUACCGGCAGAAUAAGCACCGGCUAACUACGUGCCAGCAGCCGCGGUAAUACGUAGGGUGCGAGCGUUAAUCGGAAUUACUGGGCGUAAAGCGUGCGCAGGCGGUUCGUUGUGUCUGAUGUGAAAGCCCCGGGCUCAACCUGGGAAUGGCAUUGGAAACUGGCGAGCUAGAGUGUGGCAGAGGGGGGUGGAAUUCCGCGCAGCAGUGAAAUGCGUAGAGAUGCGGAGGAACACCGAUGGCGAAGGCAGCCCCCUGGGCUGACACUGACGCUCAGGCACGAAAGCGUGGGGAGCAAACAGGAUUAGAUACCCCCGUAGUCC
rnacentral:rRNA from 1 species